rnacentral:tRNA from 1 species
GCCUCGGUAGUGUAAUGGAUCAGCACGACAGACCGGAUAUCUGUAGGUGCGGAUUCAAGUACCGUCGGAGGUC